UGCGGAGAUGGCCCAGUCUGGUACGGCGCGGGACUGCUAAUCCCGUUACUCUCUGAGUAACCCGAGUUCAAAUCUCGGUCUCCGCGU
rnacentral:tRNA from 1 species